UCGCUCACUAAGGCAGCACAUAUACUCAAUUGGAAUGAUAUACUGAUUACAUGGCCCUGUGCAAGGAUGGCAUGAAAAUUCAUGAAAUGUUCCAUAUUUUU
rnacentral:snRNA from 1 species